rnacentral:rRNA from 1 species
ACUCCUGCGGGAGGCAGCAGUGGGGAAUAUUGGACAAUGGGCGCAAGCCUGAUCCAGCCAUGCCGCGUGAGUGAUGAAGGCCCUAGGGUUGUAAAGCUCUUUCACCGGAGAAGAUAAUGACGGUAUCCGGAGAAGAAGCCCCGGCUAACUUCGUGCCAGCAGCCGCGGUAAUACGAAGGGGGCUAGCGUUGUUCGGAAUUACUGGGCGUAAAGCGCACGUAGGCGGAUCGAUCAGUCAGGGGUGAAAUCCCAGGGCUCAACCCUGGAACUGCCUUUGAUACUGUCGAUCUGGAGUAUGGAAGAGGUGAGUGGAAUUCCGAGUGUAGAGGUGAAAUUCGUAGAUAUUCGGAGGAACACCAGUGGCGAAGGCGGCUCACUGGUCCAUUACUGACGCUGAGGUGCGAAAGCGUGGGGAGCAAACAGGAUUAGAAACCCGUGUAGUCCCAUGA